rnacentral:rRNA from 1 species
AACCUCUGCAAUAGGCGAAAGCUUGACAGGGUUACUCUGAGUGAUUCCCGCUAAGGGGAUCUUUUGGCACCUCUAAAAACGGUGCAGAAUAAGGGGUGGGCAAGUCUGGUGUCAGCCGCCGCGGUAAUACCAGCACCCCGAGUGGUCGGGACGAUUAUUGGGCCUAAAGCAUCCGUAGCCGGUCCUACAAGUCUUCCGUUAAAUCCAACUGCUUAACAGA